rnacentral:rRNA from 1 species
UGGGGGAUAUUGCACAAUGGGCGAAAGCCUGAUGCAGCGACGCCGCGUGGGGGAUGAAGGCUUUCGGGUUGUAAACCUCUUUCGCUAUCGAACAAGGCCCGCUUAGGGUGGGUUGAGGGUAGGUGGAGAAGAAGCGCCGGCUAACUACGUGCCAGCAGCCGCGGUAAUACGUAGGGCGCGAGCGUUGUCCGGAAUUAUUGGGCGUAAAGGGCUUGUAGGCGGCUUGUUGCGCCUGCUGUGAAAACGCGGGGCUUAACUUCGCGCGUGCAGUGGGUACGGGCAGGCUUGAGUGUGGUAGGGGUGACUGGAAUUCCGGGUGUAGCGGUGGAAUGCGCAGAUAUCUGGAGGAACACCGAUGGCGAAGGCAGGUCACUGGGCCAUUACUGACGCUGAGGGGCGAAAGCAUGGGUAGCGAACAGG